rnacentral:rRNA from 1 species
ACAAAAACAUCACCUCUAGCAUAUUAAGUAUUAGAGGCACUGCCUGCCCAGUGACAUCUGUUCAACGGCCGCGGUAUCCUGACCGUGCAAAGGUAGCAUAAUCACUUGUUCUCUAAAUAAGGACUUGUAUGAAUGGCCACACGAAGGUUUUACUGUCUCUUACUUCCAAUCAGUGAAAUUGACCUUCCCGUGAAGAGGCGGGAAUACCCCAAUAAGACGAGAAGACCCUAUGGAGCUUUAAUUAACUAGUCCAAUAAGAAAAAACCACAACCUACCAGGCAUAACCCUCCCUUAUAUGAACUAGCAAUUUAGGUUGGGGUGACCUCGGAGUACAAAACAACCUCCGAGUGAUUAAAACUUAGACUAACAAGUCAAAGCAUUACAUCACUUAUUGAUCCAAAUUUUGAUCAACGGAACAAGUUACCCUAGGGAUAACAGCGCAAUCCUAUUUAAGAGUCCCUAUCGACAAUAGGGUUUACGACCUCGAUGUUGGAUCAGGACAUCCCAAUGGUGCAGCAGCUAUUAACGGUUCGUUUGUUCAACGAUUAAAGUCCUACGUGAUCU